GACGUAUGUUCAGAGUUUGAUCCUGGCUCAGGACGAACGCUGGCGGCGUGCCUAACACAUGCAAGUCGAACGGAGACUUUAAGAACGAGAAUUUCGGUUCAAGUUUUUAAUGUUCUUAGUGGCGGACGGGUGAGUAACGCGUGAGCAAUCUGCCUUUCAGAGGGGGAUAACACUCUGAAAAGAGUGCUAAUACCGCAUAAUGUGCCAUGGUGGCAUCACCGAGGCACCAAAGGAGCAAUCCGCUGAAAGAUGAGCUCGCGUCCAAUUAGGUAGUUGGUGGGGUAACGGCCCACCAAGCCGACGAUUGGUAGCCGGACUGAGAGGUUGAACGGCCACAUUGGGACUGAGACACGGCCCAG
rnacentral:rRNA from 1 species